rnacentral:lncRNA from 1 species
UGCCAAGAAAGCAGAGGAAAAAGUCCAUGCAAGAAUGAUGGCCAUAUGAAACUGGAUUCCAUUUUAAGGAACAUAGAAAGUACAAAUUAUGAGAAUAACUAACUGCCCUAAUGCGCACAUAAGCUAACCCAACUCAUUUUUUUUUUCUUUUUGUUCCCUUUCACAUCAAAAAAGAAUCAGAAUCUGUCACUCAGCAAGUUAGAAGUUGACAGAAGACUGAGGAACAGAAACAUCUUACUUCAUAGCAAUGUAAGUGAGGAAAAAUGUCGCGUUAUCAGGUAGACUGGCCGCCAGUAUUGUGAGGAGAGAGUUGGGAUCUUUCUCAAUCUCUUUGAAUGUAGCAAACAAGGUUCCACCCACAGUAACGCCAAUAAACACAUUCAAGACCGUGAAGUAGAAGUAUUUUCCAGAGGCAGCACGUUCUAUAUGGCUCUGGGAAGGAAUCCCCUCUAGCUUUGACAGAAACAACAGCAACUUGGGCAGCAAAUCCAGAAACACAAUGAGCACAAUCUGAGGGAGAUAAGCUUCCAACACAGUUCUGAUCACUGCAAUAUCCACAAUCGGCUCCAAAAACGGGAGAUAUUUCUUCAGAUUUUCCAGAGUCAUAAUGGCGGAAACAAAUGUGAUUGGAAUCAUGUAGAAGAAAAUGGUCAGAGCCACUAUAAUGGAGAUAAUGUACCGCCGUAUCGGUCGCUCGAAAAACUUAAUAGUAAGAUUAGUCCAUAUGAUUUGACGAGGUUCGGGUGCAUCCAUCACAUUCCAUGUGUCAUUCAUUGUGGCGUGCAGGCUCUGUGCUGCAGAGGCUGCGGUCACCCUGUUAGUAAAGAAGACCAGAGCCGCUGCUUGCUGCUUAUCUCUCAAGGUGGCUUUCUGCUCAGCUUCAAGCUUUGGAGUCAGUUCACUGAUCUUCCCACUGUAGUAUUCUAUACUGUCCACCUUUUCCGCAAGACCUAGGAAGCCGGUUUUGUUUGUGGGUCUUACUCCAUCCGGUUUGCCGGUUGUCUUUGAUUCUGCAUAAAUUGUUUCAGCACGUGCAAGCUUUUUCUUGUACCCUUCCAACUCUUUGUAGAUUUUGUUAACCUACAUGAUAACAUAUAUAACAAGGAAAGGUCUCUCAAUGGAUGAAAUCAAAAGAUGAAAGAACAAGUUGUUCUGCUAUGCCUACAUUCUCUGUCACGAUAUAUGACCAAAACUUUCACGAGAGGAACUUUUAAGUAUACAACAGAUCUUUAUCCCUCCAAGUAUCUCCGGGCAUGGAUGAGAUAAUGCCUCUAUGAACAAUACGGGGUUUGCGGCAGCGGCAUGGUAAAGAAGUCCAUAAACCAUGAUUUUUUUUAUUUUUUUUUUAAAGGUUGAACUGGGAAGUAAACUACGGUAUAUUGAAUACUGCAUUCCCAACCGCUCUCUUGGUACUGGAAAACACCUAUUUUGUCCUUUAAUAAAUCAGAGAGCACCCAUAGAGUGGGGUAAGGUUCAACCAUGAUUGUUUUCAAUGCACAUACAAUGAAGUCAUGACCUCAACUAUUUGUGUUAAGUAGGACUAUCUGUCUACGGUGGUCUUAUUUUGGUUCAUUAAUAGUAGCGCGGCUACUUCUGCCAUAUGACAAACCACAUAAAUGCACUUUUUGUUUUGUGACUUCAUAUCACACUACCACUAAAAACUGCCCAACAAACUGGUAUCUCCCUUUUAUUUGGUUCUUUCCUUGAGAACAUUUACAUAACAAAAGGGUUCAAUGCUCAUUCAGCCCCACAAUAGUACAUAAUUACUCAUCAAGCCCCACAGUAAUUUAUAAUCCUCCUAGAAUAGAAUCAAUUAUUAAAAGGGUCCAGAGCCAACCAGUACCAUAAUAAAUAGCACCAGCUGCACAGCCACUGUGGUGGAGAAAUCAUUAAGACUAGCCAUCAGGAAUCACAGAGUUCUUUUUUACGAUAUUCUUUCACCUCUGUGUAUUCUAGCCAGCAGCCAGAUACUUAAAAUAGUUGCAAUAUAUACUCACGUGCAUUUAGAUAUAGUUAUACAAAGGACAAAGUCUGCAGAACUAUAAAGCAAGAUUAGCAUAGCAACAAAUGAGGAACAAAUGGAGUAUUAUAGAAAGAAACAUUAUAAAAAGCAUACCUCUUUAUUAUUAGUCACUAUCAUCGACCCGUAAAAUGUAUCGGGAUAAAUAGAUUUGAAAUAUGAAUCAACUUGAUCCUUCAUAGUUUGACCUUCUGGGGCAGGAGGUAUGUCUCUCACAAGGACAGCAAAUUGCUCUGCUCUCACUUCGGGAGAUAUUAAAGCAGCUACUCUCAAAGCUGAAAUGUGUUUGUAUGCCUUCCACAACAGGCAGUAUGCAACGAUUGAGACCCAAUAAGUAGCUAUCAGGAAUGCCCACAACCUUGAACUUUUCUCCUGUACAUACAAAAGGAUGUGACUUAGAAAAUUAGCACUGAUUUUCUCUACCAACAACAUUGUCCACCAAUUCCUUCCCCACCAAGUAUGAUAUGAUGAAUACCUCCAUAGUUUCCAAAAUCCACUUCAAUCAAUGUCCUAAAAUUAUGGUAGAAAUAGGGAAUAAAACAUUUCUCUCUACCCUUGAUAAGACAAGAAAAAAGAAAGUCCUUGUACAAGAGUUCUAAAACUUACUGCCACAUUUCUCAUUGACAACUUCUCAAGAUCACUGAAUAUCCCAUUGCUGGUUAUGUCUGAUGAUGUGUUUGGAGUUUUUUCAGUGGCAGCAACAGGUAGAAGAACCGGCAGUAGCACAAUGCCGGAUAAUACUAAAAUUCCCAACACUGUCACGGAGUAAAAAGGGGAGGAGUCUUCAGAAUUCUCACUUCUACAGACGGCGGAGUGUUUCAAAUAUACAAGCACAAGAGUUCAUCGAAAACAAUACAAGAAAAACUAAAGUGAAAGCUUCCACAAUUAUGGAAUCUAAAACAUGCAAAACAUAGUUCUAACCAUCCAGGGGAGCUUGAUACCAAUAUGUAUGUCGUAAAUCGAGUGAUUGUAAAGAAUACGCAAACGGGAAGCAAAGGAUGAUAGAAAAAUGGCAACUUUAGGCUUCCUUAUAAAUCCCACCUCAUUUGUAUCGAGAAUUUCAAUCGCCUUUAAUUAUUGAUAGCUGACGACAGAUAUUAUUAGAUUGCCUGCUAGUAUGUGGAACUGUUAUGUAACUAAGAAUGCCAAAAGUAAUUUAAAUACACGACCAACCAUUACUUUCCAAUAAAUAGGAUUACACAGGUAAAAUUCUCAGGAAAAUAGAAAAUCUACUUAUCUUUUCUCCUUAAAAUUAAGAAAUCCAUCCCCCCCCCCCCCCCCCAAUCAAAAUCUGAUUAUAGCUAAUAUUUCUAAAGGUGUCAAAAUGGGUUUUAGACCCAUAUAUGAACCACUUAAACAUAAAUGGGUCAUAUAUGGACUCAUUCACUUUUUGAAGAGACUAGUUAAAUGAGUUUAAAAAUUGAGAGAUUAAGAUAAAUGAAUCUUAAAUGGAUUGGACUUAGAACUCCUUUCCAAUCCAAACCUCACACUCUCUAUUUCCCUCUUUAACUUUAUAAAAAUUGAAAUUAUAAUUAUUUAUUAUUUCUUUUUUCUUUUCUUUUUUAUUCUUUGCUUCUUCUUUUUUUUCUUUCUUCUUCCUCCUUCCUUAGCCAGUGGCUGGCACGGCAACGGUCAGCGAUCGACCAAGUGAGCCUUGAGCUCACCGAAUUUGACAAGGCGGAGGCCUCAUCGACGUCUGGUGAGACUUGAGCUUGCCAUUGUCAAGCGAGCCCAAGCUCAUUAGAUCUAGUGAGGCGGAGGGCUCACCAAUGUCUAGUGAGCCUCAAGCAUCGGUGAGCUCGAGAUUGCCUAUGGCUGGUUGCUAGCUGAUAACGGUAGAAGAAGAAAAAAAAGAAAAGAGAAAAAAAUUUUAAAAAUAUAUUUUUAAGUAAUAAAAAAUAAAAAAUAAAAAAUUUUGUGACUCGGGAACCGCUGUACAGCCGGCAGUCGGCAGCAUAAACCCAAGGCAAACCGCACCCACCCACCUGACCCGGCCGCGGUUGAGUCGCACAAGCGGCCGCAAGAAUUUGAACUCGCUCCCUUUGCAGGAAGGAGCAAAGCACAAACCGCGCGACCACCAAUAGAGUGAGUAUAAUUAAAAUUUUGAUUUCUAAAAAAAUUAUAAAAAUUGUCCAUUAAAUUUGUAUUGCAUGAAAGUAUUUUAGUAAUACCAUUUUUUAGAAAAAAAUAUCUUAAGAAAUAAGGUUUCUUAGAUUUAGUUAAAUGGGUCAUGUAUGGGUUAAAAAUUUUGUACUAUAAUAAAUGGGUCAUAAAUGGGUUAAAUGGGUUGAUUUGAGUCAUACCAUUUAUGACUCAACUCAAACUUGGCUCGAUCUACCUAUUUGACAGGUCUACUAAUUUCCCGCAACAAUAGAAUGCAAGUAUGGUGAGUGCCUCGCCAUAAACUCUUCCGGUCAGGUACAACAGUUAGUGCAAGCGGUACGUAUCACCAGCCCCACGGUAUGCGUUCAAAUAAACGGUUGGGUUCACCAACCACGACACGAAAAGUAGCGAUGACAAUCAGUUAGACAAUGCAGCAGCACAAAUUGCAGGUGCUGAAGGCUUUAUGCAGGAGUGAAAGGAUAAAUAUUUGGCACUAGAAACUCGAAAUCCACUCACAAUCACGAAAAAAGGCCUAUUUUCGGAUUGCGGUCAAGGUGAGUCUAACUUCUUACUGCACAACUUGUGCACUUAAUCAAGUGAUGAAGGAUUGGAUUCCGGUAAAGGCAUGCAAGUGAAAUGCCGCUAGAAUUGUUAAUGUAGCCCUUGAAAUGGACUGCCCUAAAGGCAUAAAUUAACAACGAAUCUACCUCUAAAAUCCAUGAAACAGACUGAAAAUCAUACCAUAAACGAGCCAAACCAAACCAACACCCAUAAAAGAAAGAUCAACGAACCAAAAAGUGAAGCGAUCUAUUCACCUGAGAACCACCAGAAAACACAAAAAGAAGCGAUCAUAUUCAGAAAGAACGGACCACCAGUCCCACUCGAAUUGCAAAAAGACACAUCCAAGCGCCGAGUUCAAACCAACCCAUAAACAACGACGGACCCAGCCGCCUCCGGCAGCUGGUACUCCCCCAGAAGAAUCACCAACGUCUCAUUACAAGCACCCAAACAAAGCAAGAAAAGAUCAGACAACUGAAAGAGAGAGAGAGAGAGAGGCACGGCACACACCGGUACUGAGGAAGACGAAGUAGACGGCGGUGUCGACGCCGGACACGGCGAUGACGUCCUGCUCGGAGGAGGAGAGGGCCUCGCGGAUCCAGGCGAAGGGGUUGCGGGAGGAGUGGUUGCCGCCGUCGAAGGGGUCCACGCCCCUGAGGAGGCGGUUGGGGUAGUACACCACCUUGUUCCCGGGCCGGACGGACAGCCACGCGAAGAGGACCAUGAGGACGACGAAGAUCACGAAUGCCGUGAUCAGCGACGUCAGGUAUGAGCUGAAAUCCAUCCAGGUCUUUCUGCUAUUGCCUCCUAGUCCUCGUCACUAAGCUCUGUCAACGGUGUCAGGGAGAGCGAGGGGGGGCGGCCAUGGUAGUGGUGGAGUUACUAUAACUCAAAGAUGUGGACGGGAGAAAGAGAGGGGGCAAAGACGGACAAAGCCGUCGGGUUUAAUAAUAGAAAAAUUCGAUUGUGGCCUCGUGAAACACCUUGCUUUUGCUUGCUCUCUCUGUGUGGGAGUUAUCUUUCUCCAUUUUCUCCGGAUUUGUCGUGGAUUGAGUCACGUCAUUCUUUUAGUGCAGACCUCGUGAAACACCUUGCUUUUGCUUGCUUCCUCUGUGUGGGAGUUAUCUUUCUCCAUUUUCUCUGGAUUUGUCGUGGAUUGAGUCACGUCAUUCUUUUAGUACAGAGAGAGAGAGAGAGAGAGAUGAGGAACCCUAGUUUCCACAAGUAUUCGCUCCUUUCCAACUGGAUGCAACACUUAAUUAUCUCCUCCUCGAUGAGUCCAAACGUUAACAGUCGCGAGAAGAUGUGUAAUUAUCAAUCCAAUGUACUACGGAAAGGAGCUCUCUAGCUCCAUAUCAUGGAUCUUCUGUUGUUCUUCAACUACCGAUCCUCUCGUGAAAGGAAUCUUUAGCUGUUCCCCGUGAAAGAAGUUAGCCAAGCGAUACUCUCUUCAGAGAAACAAAACCACAAAACACUUUUUGCACUCGUCCUAGCCAUUGUAUCGGCAAGAACCUUCGGCACUUCCAUCCGCUUUUCAUGCAAAAAACCAUCGUUAAAUUUCGCAAUGUCACCUGAAAAGCGCACCCAUGCAAGUGCACAAAGUUUUGCUUUUGGAGUGUCCCACAAGAAAUCAUAGAAUUAGUGAUAUUUCUUCGUGCCGUUUUUUCAUUCUCCUCACUGACCCUAAGAGAUCGGAGAUUAUAACCAUCGCCACUAACAGGUACAAAGUUUUGUGGCCAACUUUUUAGCAAUUUUAAGGGACGAUAUGUUCUUUCUUCACUUAUCAUGCUACUAAUAAUAUGGAAGGGUGCCCAGAACAAAACAAAACAAAAAUCGAUGGCACUUUGUAAUCGCCACCAGUAUAUUGUCGCCAAAGCCAAGUGCGUCGGUGCCCUUAAACCUGGAGCGAACAUCUCCCAUGAGUUGUUCCAUCAGAUUGGUUGAACUCGGAAUAAUUAGUUUGAUAAAUUUAAUGAUAGUUGCGUAAUUUAUCUUUCUCACAGGUUUUGAAAAAAGGAACGCGAAUUGGAAACCUUUACCUCGCUAGCUGCUCUCUCUGUGAUGAUUGAUGGUGGGCAAGCCUUAGCGCUGUGGGUUUAUAUAUAGUGAACUUCGUUCCUAUCUAGGUGGUCGGAUCAAAUGAUGCCGUUUCGUCUUCCACCACCCCCAUCCUCCAUUUCUUCGUUGGGCGUGGGCCUGGCAUUUUCUCUGUUCAUCACUAACAUAGACUUGGACUUUCUGUUAUCCAUAUUUAAAUUGUUCGCAAAACCGCCGCCCCCGGCAUGCAUCCUCUAGCAGGCGCCAUGCCACCGCCACUUCAUCGCUUGCCAUCGCGAACUAUCAACAAAAGUUGGGGCAAUUCCCAUGGCAGACGACUGUAGUGAGGCAAGGAUUGGUAUACCCAGUCGCCUCCUCGGGCCGAGGUUUCAUCCCAACAUCCCCAAAUCAGUUGGACCACAUUGCGAUGUGUCAUUCCAUCCCCGCAUCCGUUAGGGUUUUUGGUCCCUUCUCAUCAGAAACAACGCUUUUCCCCUUCCCUUCCUCUUCCCAAAUUGCAAUGGCUAUAAAGAACUCAAGUUUUUAAAAAAAAAAAAAAAAAAUCUGCAUCCUCUUCCACUCUCUCUCUCUCUCUCUCUCUCUCUCUCUCUCUCUCUCUCUCUCUCUCUCUCUCUCUCUCUCUCUCUCUCUCUCUCUUCAUUCGCAGAUUUUGGCGACGGAUAAAAGCUGCCUAGAGUUUCUCAUCGCAGGGCUUUGUUGACGGAUUAGAAAGACGCUCAAAGUUUCUCAUCAUAGGAUUUUGGACCUACCUAGAGUUUUUCAUCUCAGAUGUCGAAGCUGUCCGAAGUUUGCCAUCCUAGGACUUGAUAUGCCUUUACUUGAAUUGUGUAAAGUUUUUCACUUAACAUUUGAAUUAUCUAAGGGUUUUCACUUAUUAGGAUUUAAAUCAUCUAAAGUUUUUCACUCAUAACAUGGAUUUCUUAAAAAAACCAAAUGAAAGACUUUUUGCCAAAAAAAAAGACUUUUCACUCGUUCUCAUUUUGAAGGAUAAUUUGUCAUGACCAUUGAUGUGGGAACAAGAGAAUCCCUCUAUCUUAUCGUUAUCAUCAUAUUUACAAGAGUCCAAGUUGUCUCACGAGCAAUAUAACCUUAUCAAUUUAAGAGGUCUUUUUAAUAGGACCAUAACGUAGGAGUUGUCAUCGGCUUUGCAAAAUGUGAUUAUUCAAUUCGUAGCUUUGAAAGGAAUAUUCUUCAUUAAUUUGGCAUCUCCAUCGGGAUUACUAGUCAAGAAUCAUGCAAAUGAGACUGAAGCAACCUUGGCCACACUUUUUUGGGAGAAGCUUUUAACAUUUGAAUCUCCUAUGUUAAUUCAAGUGCCCUAUUCAGUAUAAGGGAUGUAAUGUAAGCUUGGUUAAUGGGUUGAGAGACGAAAGGAUUCGUUAGGCUCAACAACUUUUCAUUGAAAGGGUUUGAAGUUGGCAAGCAUCUCGAUAUCAUUACCAAUCUUCUCCUUCGUUGGGAUUGUCUUCUUGUAUAGAUGCAUCUUCGACCACGAGGGUCCUACACUGUUUUUUGAAAUUUGUGAAAUCACCAACCCUUUCAUUGGGAUUGACUUUGCAAGUUUAACAUAGACACUCUUUCGUUCUCACCAACAAUUGGGCCUUGCAUCAACAUUUUUUUCGCUCUUCUUUUUUUUUCUCACUUUUUUGCUCUAGUUUUCGAACUUUUGUUUCGAAUUUUUUUUUAUCUCUUUCUAUCUUUUUGUCGAUUUUUUCACUUCUCUUUUUUCCUGACAUUUUUCUUGCAAUGCAUUCUGUAAAUGCUAGUACAAGCACCUAGAGGGGGUGAAUAGGUGCGAAAACAAAUUUUUGUAGAGUAUAGUGUAAAACUUUACUUUUAACUGAGUCUGUUUAGCAGAAGACUUUAAAAAGAAAAGAGACUCUAACAAUUAAAUAAAUUUACGAACAAAGUAAAUGAGUUUAGGAAAGAAAAUAAGAACACAAGGUUUAUAGUGGUUCGGCUUAAUCCAAGCCUACGUUCACUCUCCCACACUGACGGCCCACCGGCUGGAUUUCACUAUGAAUCAAAAGAGUCGUUACAGUUUCACGUCCUUGAUUCCACAGUGUAGAGAUUCUGCUACACUUCCUCAAGGUCUCACAAAUGUAUAAACUCUUUUUGAGUACAAGUUUACACUCAACAAUUGAAUUGGCAAAGAACAAGGAACUUCAGACUUUGGAAUUUAUCUAUCGCACACACACUCGAAUAACUAGAGCGUCUUCCUUAUAUACUCAUCCAUGCCUUCAUAACCAUUGACACUUUCCAAAUGAGUUCUUCCAAUUUAUCCGUUGGGCAUAAUUAAUUAGGGAGAUCUCAAGUUAUUUAAGGAAUAUGACGAUAGCCCACCAAUCCUGCUCGUCCAUACAAUCAGAAUCUAAGUUUCCAUAAGUAGAACCUUUUAAGUAUGCUUCACCAUUCAACGGAUCCAAUUUACCCAAAUUAAUUUCAAGAAUAAUAAAUUUCGAGAUGCUAUCUCCAAUCGAGAGAUCUUCUUUAGUUGAUCGAAUCAAAUCCUUAAAGAAAUACUUAAUUUUGGAUAAAACUUCUUCAACUGUAUAGAAACUGUCAAUGAAUGCAAACUUUGAGUCUUGAGUCUAGCGGUCUUCAAACUUUGACGCAAAAGUCUGCAAAUCUUCAGAUUAGACUGAUGGAAACGUUUUAUCAACUUCAAAAUAAAUAAUGAAGUUUUCUCCAACAAUCUCCCCCUUUUUUAUGGUGACAAAACUUUCCUGCAAAUUUGGAUUUUUUUUACCUCAAGCAAACAAGGAUAUCUCACAAAAGAUAAAUGAAUUAGUAAAGAUAGCAUUAAAUCUGCAUCCAGAGGAGAUAAGUUAGUCCUGUAAAAACAACUAUCUUUGCCAAGAAUACCAACAACGCUUAAGAUACUGCAAUCAUUAAACGAUCAAACAAACCAAAUUCAAACCAGUCACAACCAAACAACCAAACAAAAGUAAAGUCAAUCAAAAGUCAAAUCAAAUAAGAGUCAAAUCUCAAAUAUUCACCCCAUCUCCCCCUUUUUGUCAACAUUAGAAAGGUAGAGACGAAAAGAGAAUGGAAGAAAAUUAAGAUUGUUUUGGAACGCAAAUAAGUUGGAAAUCUCCCAUCGACUGGACAAUCUCUUCCAACUUUUUUAAAUCCUCCUUCAAUUGCACCACUUCUUCACCCGUGGCAGUUGCUUGAACUUGAAGAUUAAGGGCUUGGAUUUGAUCAUGCAAAGAAAUUGAAGAGGCUUGACUGGCAUUCUGCAUAUUCUAAACUUUGCAUCCCAUGGCAUAAAUCUGGCCUCGCACCUCCGUAAGAACAUCAAGCAAUCUUCGAAAGUUUGCUAAGUUGUCAAUCUGAGUGUUUGUUUCUGCAUGAUCAAUUUGAGGUGUAUUGGCAGAUAUGGAGAUGAAAUCUUAUGACCUUCCUUAGGAAAUUGAGAGGCAUAUACAUCUUCUGGAUCACAGGUGAACGGCUAACAUCUUCAAUAGUAAAAGCAAUUGAAGAGGUACCUCUUUUCUCAGCAGUUCCUCCUAUUUCAAUGCCUUCAAGCGGAGAGAAGUACUCUUCAUGCUUUGUCUCUUCUCGUUCUCCUCUGCCCUCUUCUUUUGCAGGUCUUUUCUACCUCUGCUUCUUUUCUCAUGGAUUCCCUCUCUUCACUCCUUUUCUCUGUCUCUUCUUUGUCUUGAUCCUCUCUCUCCUCUGUCUCUGGAACAAAACGUUGUAAGCUUCUUAAUGCAAAAGCGAAAAUGGUGACAUCUUCCUCAUCUUCUUUAUCCUGCAAGAUGAGUGAUCUUCUUUUCUUGGAUAGAGCUGUCAUGGGCUCCUUCCCUUUUUCGUUUUGCAACCAUAGAAACUUAAUGAGUCUUGACAGGGGUUUUCUCCUUGAAUCGCUCCAAAGCCUUGUUCAGCUCUUUUAGACGCAUUUUGGAAAUCAUUUUCAGUCCCAUCACCAUUUGAUCAUAGGUUCGUACACACAGAAUCUUGGAAAGUUGAAUAUUCAAAUGUCUGAAUAACUUAGUAAUAGUGCUGAGUAAGGAAGUUGGCCCUUGUCUUUCAUCAUCGAUCUAUACAUGUGAAACAUGAUAGUGUGUGGCAGAGAGAACUUUUUGCCAGCAUUGAUAGCAUACAUUAGCCUUGCUUCUGAGUUGGAGACGUCAGUCUUCGAAGUCGAUUUGGGUCUAAGGCAAUUGAUCACAAUCUUGUGAAGCAAACUAUUUGAGGCAUUCAUCCUCAAGUACAAAAUCCGUCCUUCCACCGUUCCAUCCCAAACAAGCUCUACCGUCGCACGACUAAUAGACACACUAAUUGAUUGGAAUACACCUCUCUCUACUCCAAUCACAUCAGCCAAUGUGUCCAUAUCAACUACAUAGUCCUAAUCUCAAACACUGAAAGAGAAUCUAUUCGCAUCCAAGAAACUUAGAUUAGAAUAGAAAUACACAGUAAGUUCUAGAUGAGCCAUUGUUGUCUCAGAACAAAAUCGUUCAAGUUGAAGUAAGGUGAAUUUCUCUCGCAACUUCACGUUCAGAGAAUCAAUAAAAUCAAAGUCUACACUUCUUGGGUUGAUCACCCCUUGCUUUAACAACUUAGAGUAAAGUCGCUUGUGUUCCUCAGAGCGAAAAAAAUCUGUCAUUUUGCUUUAAAUAUUCACCGCAACACCCAUUCUAGGCUUAAAAUGAGUGUACAUCUUGUCAUCAUCAUUUCCAUCAGGUUGACUAAGACCUCCAAAAUGUGGAUCGCUUGGAAUAUUCGCAAAGGCUCUUUCUGCCGACCCCGCAGAAGCAACUCUCAAUCGUUCCAUCAUUCGCAAAAAGUAGGUUUCAUUUCGAUACCCUUUCUCUUUCAAAAAUUCAUCAAUAAGUUCAGGGAAGUACCUCCCUCCUUCAAGGCAAAGUAGAGCUUAAAGGUAAAGGCAGGCUUUUGAGUUCUUACAAGUUUCGCAUCUUCAAUAAUUUCUUCCUCCGCUUGAUGAUGAAUAUCCUGAGGUCUAGCUUGAGGAGAAUGAUGCGGUUGAGAAUGUUGUGGACUUUGCAGCUGUCUUAGAGAUUUUUCUUCCUCAGUGAGAUCAAAAUGCGUAGGACCCCCACGUAUAUGUUGCGGUCCCCUGUUUGCAAGCCUUGAAGACUUUCUUUGGAAAGACAUUCUCACAAUCUUUGAGAGAUUCCAAACUUGUUUCACAAGAAAGAUGAAAACUUUGAGGAUUAAACUAGAGAGUAAAAGAGAGAAGGUGAAGUUCUGUGCUUUCUAGGGUUUUGUGAGUAAAGCAGAAGAAAACAAACAGUAUAUAAAGCAAUCAAAGUGAAGUAUACGGAACAUUGUAAAAGGAAAAAUAGAAUAUGCCUUUUUAAAAAAUAACUGCCCUUUUGAAAAUAGAUAACUGUAAAAAUAACUCCUUUUUUUCGAAAAUGAAUGAUUACAAAAUUUGGAAAGACAACAUCAAUUAAUUGCAAAUUUAUAGGCAUUUGUAUUUUUUCGAGUUUUUUUAUCUAAGAGAUAAAAAGGAAAUAACUUAUAGUCGAAAAUCUUGAUCUUCUGAGUCUGAGUAUCCUUAAACUUUUAUCCCUAAGUCAGAGCUUCUUCAGACUUUAAGAUAUUAAGUCUGGAACGAAUAGACUUAAAUUGACUUUUCUCCAGUGGCUUUGUAAAAAUGUCCGCUAGUUGAUUCUUUAAGUCAAUGAAUUGAAUCAAGACUUCUCCAUUUUGAACAUGAUCUUUAAUAAAAUGAUGUCGAAUCUCUAUAUAUUUUGAUCUUGAAUGAAGAACUGGAUUCUUGGUGAGAUUAAUCGCGCUGGUGUUGCAACAUUUGAUCUCAGUGCAUGAGUCUUCGAUUCCAAAGUCUCAUAGCUAUUGUUUUAUCCACAAGAUUUGAGAACAACAACUUCCAAGAACCACAUACUCUGCUUCUGCUGUUGAAAGAGCUACUAUAAUUUGCUUCCUUGAAAACCAAGAUACUGUCCUGUUAUCAAGUAAUUGAGAAGUGCCCGAGGUGCUCUUUCUAUCAAUUCUACAUCUAGCUAGAUCUGCGUCUGAGUAUCCAAGGAGAGUAAAGUCUCAUUCUUUAGGAUAUCAGAGACCCAAAUUAGAGGUUGUUGCAACAUAUUUGAUGAUGCAUUUCGCAGCAGUUAAAUGAGAUUCCUUGGGAUCUAAUUGAAAUCUGGCACAAAUACAAACACUAAGCAAAAUGUCAAGUCUAGAAGCAGUAAGAUAAAAAAGUAAACCAAUGAUACUCCUGUAUAGCUUCUGGUCAACUUUCUUUCCUCCUUCAUCUUUGUCCAGCUUUGAGGAACUUGACAUUGGUAUAUCAGUCUUUUUGUAAUUCUCCAAACCAAACUUUUUAACAAGUUUUUUAGCAUAUUUUUCUUGGUGAAUGAAAGUUCCUUCCUUCAAUUGUUUUACUUGAAGUCCGAGAAAAAAGGAUAGUUCACCCAUUAUGCUCAUUUCAAAUUCAUCCCGCAUACACUUAGAGAAUUUCUUGCACGAAUUUUCUUUAGGUGAUCCAAAAAUAAUAUCAUCAACAUAGAUUUGAACAAAUAAAAAGUUUUUGCUUUCUCUUUUGAUAAACAAGGUAGUGUCUACUUUACCUUUAACAAAGCCAUUUUGGAUUAAAAACUUACUUAACCUGUUGUACCAAGCUCAAGGAGCUUACUUUAAACCAUAUAAUGUCUUUUUCAGUCUGAAUACAAAGUCUGGUUUCCUUGAGUCUUCAAAACCGGAAAGUUAUUCCACAUAGACUUCUUCUUGAAUAAAAUCAUUCAAGAAUGCACUUUUGACAUCCAUUUGGAAUAACCUGAAAUUUUUAUAACAAGCAAAAGCAAGUAAUAAUCUAAUUGCUUCUAACCUUGCUACUGGUGCGUAAGUCUUAUCAUAGUCUAUCCCUUCUUCUUGCGUAUAUCCUUUUGGCCACGAGUCUUGCUUUGUUCCUUACGACUUUUCCUUUCUUGUUUAUCUUAUUCCUAAAAACCUAUUUAGCUCCAAAAACAUAUUUACCUUUUGGUUUAUGAGUCAAUUCCCAAACAUCGUUAAUACUGAAUUGCAUGAGUUCUUCUUGCAUAGCUUCAAUCCAACUUUCAUUAGUUAAAACUUCUUCUAUGCUUUUAGGUUCUAUUUCAGAAAUAAGAGCCACAACGCUAGACUCUUCUCGCCUUUUGGAUCUUGUACGAAUCCCUUCAUCAAUGUCACCAUAAUAAGUUCUAUGGGAUGACUAGACAUGUGCUUCCAGUUGCUGGUUGGUUUGACAGACUAUUGAUCUUUUUCUUCAUUUGAUUCUACAACGAUCGUUCGUUGUUUAUCUUCUGAAGUCUGAGCUGAUUCUAGGGAUUUAGACUCUAUAGAGUCUGGAACAGAUUCAAAUUCUUCAGAUUGAGUCUGAAUUGAUUGAUUUUGAAUAAAGUCUUGAAAUUUGACAUUCAUCGAUUCCUGUACAAAUUGAGUCUUUUUAUUGUAUACUCUAUAAGCUUUGUUGGUAGUUGAAUAUCCAAGGAAGAUGCAUUCGUCUAAUUUUUCUUCAAACUUACAAAUUCGAUCAUUUGUGUUUUUCAAUAUAAAACAUUUGCAUCCAAACACAUGAAAAUAGGAAACAAUUGGCUUAUUUCCUUUGAACAACUCAUAGGGAGUUUUCUCUAUAAUAGGCCUUAAGAAGACUCUAUUAAUAAUAUAACAUGCUGUAGAAACUGCUUCAGCCCAAAAACAAGAAGAAAUGUUACUUUCAAUUAAAAGUGUUCUAGCCAUUUCUUGCAAUGAUCUAUUUUUUUCUUUCCGCAACUCCAUUCUGUUUUGGAGUGUAAGGAGAGGAAAACACAUGCUGAAAACCAAAUUCAUCACAGAAUUUGGCAUAGUCUUGAUUUUUAAACUCACCUUCAUGGUCUGUUCGUAUGCUUGAAAUAACAUACCCUUUCUCAUUUUGAACUUUCUUAGCAAAUUUUAUAAAAUAAGAAAAUGUUUCAGACUUACUUGCUAAGAAAUAUACCCAAGUGAAUCGUGAAUAAUCAUCCACUAUUACUGGGCAAUAUUUCUUACCACCAAUGCUCUGAGUUCUGGUUGGUCCAAAGAGAUCCAUAUGCAAAAACUGCAGCACACGAUUAGUGGAAACUUGAUUUAUUGGUUUGAAACAAUUUCUAACCUGUUUUCCCAAUACACACGGUGUGCAUAAUUCAGAUUUUUGGUAUAUCAAAUUAGGUAGUCCACGAACAAGCUUCUUUGCAGAGAUCUUGGCUAUUUGUUUCAUGUUGAUGUGGCCAAGUUUUUUAUGCCAUAGAUUAGCUUCAUCUUGAAUUGAAAUUAGACAUUGAGAUUUUUCUAGUUUGAUAUCCAGAAGAUAGAUAUUCCCAUGUCUUCGCCCUGUGAAAGUCUGAGAGGAGUCUUUACUGGUUCCUGAACAUAUUCCUUCUUGAAAGUUCAUUUUGAAACCUGUAUCGCACAGUUGGCUGAUACUCGCCCUGUAAUUGAGUCCUUCCACUAAGGAAAUGUUACUGAUUAUGAGACUUCUAAUAUUUACAGUUCCGUAUUCGACAAUUUUGCAUUUGCUAUUUCCACCAAAAGAAACUUUUCCAUCAUUAACUUGCAUAAGCUUUAUGAAACAACUUAAGUCUCAUGUCAAACGUCUUGAGCAUCCACUAUCCAGGUACCAUUUGACAUUUUUCUUUAUAGUGGCUUGCAUUUAAAAAAGAAACUCAAGCUUUCUUUGGUACCCAUACUUUCUUGGGUCUAAUGGAGUUAGUGUAAUAUACGAUUUUUGCCCAAACCUUCUUAACAGGUUUCCAAACCAUAUGACAUUCUUUCUCAAAAUGUUCUGAGCUGUUAUACUUAGAAAAUUUAAGAGCACUACAGCCUACAGGUUUUACAAAGACUUUUUGCAAAUGAUUUCUAUAAAAGUCUUUUGUAGGUCUUUGUUUAAUUCUUUCCUUUACUUUUGGAAAGUCAAUUGGAGAGAUGGUUUCAGCAGUCAUUCCCAAGCCUAAUUUGUUAAAGUAAGGUCUUUGCACUAAAAAAAAAAAUUUCUAAUUUCUCAGAUCCUAUAGAAAAUCUUUUUGAAAUACUUGAAAUGUCAUUUUUCAAAAGUGCAUUUUCUUUUGAAAGAGAGUCUGCAUUUUCUUUCAAAGUAAUAAUACAUUUAUCUAAAUUUUCGAUCUUUUCUUUCCAAACAAUCUCAUGUUGCUUCAGUGUAGAAUUUUCCAUUUUUAGUUCAGAAAUCCUCUUGAGAGAAGUUUUGAGACUAAGACACAGUUCAUCAAUAUAUUUAGAGACUUUAGUAGGAAUUUUUAAAUUACUUACCUCAAUUUCACUGUCUGAGUCUAGGUCUGUCUCAGAAUCUGAAUCUGAUUCUGAUUGUGCCAUUAGACAAAUAUUAGCAUAAUCAUCAUCACUCUCUUUACAUUCAGUAUCACUCCAAGUUUCUGCUUUGAGAGCACUUCUGUAUUUCUCAGCUUUUCCUUUCUUUUUCUUCAGUAAGGGACAGUUGAGUAUGAUGUGUCCAUUUUUUCUUGCAUUCAAAACAAAUCACAUCUUUAUUGGAUUCAUCAUCCUCAGCUGAUUUAUUUUGAAACUUUUGAGAAUUAUGUUUCUUCCAAUUGAAUCUUCUUCUAUUUUUGUUCAGUUUUUUGAACCUUCUUAUCAUGAGAGCAAGCUCUUCAUCGUCCAUAUCGUCUUCAGAAUCUGUAACAUCAGAAUCAUCAUUAGAUUUUAAUGCAAUAGAUUUUUUACCUUUGGGAUCUUCAUCUUCCUUGAUUUGCUCCACUCCAUAAAACUAAAAAGUGCCAACCAAUUCGUCAACGGAGAGUGUCAUGAUCCUUUGUGUCUCCCUUAUUGAGGUCUUUACAUGAUUCCAAUCUUUGGAAAGUCCACGCAGUAAUUUGUUAACCUUCAUGGGUCCAGAAAUUGGUUGACCUUGAUACUCAAGACCAUUCACGAUUUAUGUAAAAUGACUAAACAUAUCAGUGAUAGAUUGUCCUAGUUUCAUUUUGAAUGAUUCAUAUUAACCAAGCAGAAUAUUGAUUCUGGUUUCUUUCACUCGAUCAGUUCCUUCAUAGGUGAUAUGCAAUCUAUCCUAGACUUCUUUAGCUGUUUCACAAGAAGAUAUUAUGUUAUAUUCAGUAUGAGAUAAUGCACAAUAUAAGGAAUAAAUUGUUUUUGCAUCAAGAGCUUGUCUCUUGAUUAUCUCUUCUUGAGUCAUCUCGCUAAACUCAAUAGCUUCUUUUCCCCUUUCUGAGAUUUUGUAGUUUUAGAAAUGAUUCCUUUGUCUACCACAUCCCAUUCAAGAGGGUCUUUCAAUCUUAGGAAUGUCUUCAUCUUGUUUUUUCAUAUACUGUAUUUCUUCCCAUCAAAGUAAAACGGUAUGGUAUUGCUUUGCCCUUCAACCAAACCUAGAGCCAACAUACUAACCAUAGAUCGUUAACUCUGAAAUAAAAACACUUCAAUUUAGAUGAGUACACAAACUAUGAUACCAAUUGUAAAUGUUAGUACGAGUACCUAAAGGGGGUGAAUAGGUGCGAAAACAAUUUUUUGUAGAGUAUAGUGUAAAAAUUUACUUUUAACCUGAGUCUGUUUGACAUAAGACUUUAAAAAGAAAAGAGACUUUAACAAUUAAAUAAAGUUACGAAUAAAGUAAAUGAGUUUAUGGAAGAGAAUAAGAAUACAAGGUUUAUAGUGGUUCGGUCUAAUCCAAGCCUACGUCCAUUCUCCCGCACUGACAGCCCACCGGCUAAAUUUUACUAUGAAUCAAAAGAGUCGUUACAGUUUCACGUCUUUAAUUCCACAGUAUAGAGACUCUGCUACACUUCCUCAAGGUUUCACAAAUGUAUAAACUCUUUUUUAGUACAAGUUUACGCUCAACAAAUGAAUUGGCAAAGAACAAUGAGCUUUAAACUUUGGAAUUUAUCUAUCACGCACACACUCGAAUAACUAGAGCGUUUUCCUUAUAUACUCCUCCAUGCCUUCAUAACCGUUGGUACUUUCCAAAGGAGUUCUUCCAAUCUACCCGUUGGACAGAAUCAAUUAGGGAGAUCUCGAGUUAUUUAAGGAACAUGACGAUAGCCCACCAAUCAUGCUCGCCCAUACAAUUAGAAUCUAGGUUUCCAUAAGUAGAACCUUCCAAGUAUGCUCCGCCAUUCAACGGAUCCAAAUUACCCGAAUUAAUUUCAAGAAUAAUAGAUUCUGAGAUGUUAUCUCUAGCCGAGAGAUCUUCUUUAAUCGAUCGAAUCAAAUCCUUAAAGAAAUACUUGAUUAUGGAUAAGAUUUCUUCGACGGUCUAGAAACUGUUAAUGAGGGCAGACUUUGAGUCUUGAGUCUGGCGGUCUUCAGACUUUAACGGUCUUUACGCAAGAGUCUACAAGUUUUCAGACUAGACUGAUGGAAACGUUUUGUCAGCUUCAAAACAAAUAAUGAAGUUUUCUCCAACACAUUCUUGGACCAACCAAACUCUGGCUUUUGGCAUUUUUAGACUCUAGCUUUUCAUAAAUGAAUUUGCAGGUUCUAAUGGGCUAUAUAAGAGAUAAAAUUGUGUAUGAUGAAGAAAUAAAUUUUCUUCAUCACUUUAAGGUACUUAAAUUCUCAUUUGAGUUAUAAUACACUCAAAGAUCGAUUCAAGUGAGGGUAAAAAUCUCACAUCCUCGAUUCGAAUCCCUAUUUACACCACAAGAGAUAGACUGAGCAACGGUACGUCAAUAACAAGGAUAGACCGUGAAUCCCAUCAUUGUUCACAAGCUGACUAGCUAAUUAGGGGCAAGACAACUUAGGAUUAGGGUUGUGAUAGAUCAGAGCAUUCAACCAUGAAAGGAUCAUUUGACCUCAAGGAUCAUUGUGAAUGAUCAUGUGCCGUCCUGAGUCAAUUGGUGGACUAAUAUAGAUCAAUUUAGCUCGAAUAUAUACCAAUGGCAUGUGACAUCACAUGGUCAAUAUACUGUUCAUGAAUGACCUUAAUCCGAUCCUAAAUGAUCAUGAGUCAAGAAAGGCCGAUCGAUCCUACUCGAUUACAUAACAACCGAGGAUCAUUCAUGAAUCGAUCGAGCUCAACUAAAAGCCACGCGUAAAACCCUGAACAAGCAUCAACUCAGUUCAAGUCUAGUUUCAAGAAUUCUACCAAUGCCACAUAAAUUUGAGUAGAUUGCAUUAAACCUGUUUCCGAUCGAAACUUAGUCACAAGCCCCGAUUCAAUUGCAGGUAUCGACUAUAGAAGUUAUCAAGGCAUUCCUUUCCAAUUAAAAUGAUUUUAUUGAACAUGUUUGUGCAUCAAUUAGAGAAAUGCGCUAAUUUGAUAAUAUAGACUUCAACGAACCUAGAGAUGAGACCAAUUCAGCUUAUUAAAAUUUAAAUUGAGAUGAGACAAAAUGUGUUAGGCCAUGGACAACAGAUAGGCACCACUUUAGGGGUAGACAAGGGGAAUAGACCAAAUUACCCUUCUUGAGUCUAUCCAAUAAUUGAAAUUUAAGAAGCCAUCCUAGCCCUUGAUCUUGGAUAAGGACUUAGGCAAGAUGGAUGACCAAGAUUUCAUCUUGCUUUCCAAGUUUGAUUGGCAUCGUGAGAGGAGGACAAUAAUUCAAGAGGCUUUAAUGCUUGAAAGGUAAUCUUUCUUUUUAAGUUUCUUCUUCUUCUUCACUCUCUCCCUCUCCCACCCCAUUUGGUCAACCCUCCUUCCCUUUCCUCUCUCUCUCUCUCUCUCUCUCUCUCUCUCUCUCUCUCUCUCUCUCUCUCUCUCCUUCCUUUUCCUCCCUUUCUUCCCCAUUGCCCGCUUGGCCGCUCGCCUUGCCGUCCACCACUACACGCUGUCGCCGCCGUUGUUCAUGCACCCGCCUAGACGCCAUCCACCACUCUACUGCUGCCGUCCGCCAUCCUCUGUCACUUGAUCAUUACUACCGUGAACCAAGCCACCACCCAACCGCCCCCGUCCUGUCUUAGUUGUUUGUAAGUAGAUUUCUUAAAUGUUAGCUAGGCCAUUGUGUUACGCAACUCAGAUUUAGGACUGCCUAUGAUGUUAUAAACUAUCAUAGGUUGAGGAACUCAUGUAAUUAAUUUUGUAUGAUUUGCUCAUGAUAUACUUAAGCUAUAUAGUUCGAGAUUGAGCGAGGAAUAAGUAUGUGAGAGUUGAGGUUGUUCAGGUUCACGUGAUGUCACGCCCCGAUCUUCAAGCACGUACCCAUCCCUCAAUGGUCAAUAAAUUUGUGACGUCUUAGGACGCGUCGCUGACCCAUUCAUUUUAAUACGCAUGCGAAAGCGAACAAAUACCCCUGACAGCACAAAGAUGGGAUAGAAAAGCAGAACCACAAUUGCACAACCACAACACACCUUUAUACACAACCGACUAGUUUAUUUACAAUACUAGUCUAUAGACAAAAGUCUACAAAAGACCGACUCUCAAAAAUGAAGCUGUCCUAAGACUAGCUAGCCAAACACAUUCGCCGAUCCUUCGGACUCCACAGGCUCCGGGGGUGUUGGGUCCUCCACCACACCAUCAGGAGGGUCAGCUGCACUCUCACCUAGAGUGGCAUCGACUACCACAGAGGGGAUUUCAAAACCCCUAAGGGGAUCCACCAUGAAUCCAUUGGGUCUGUAGCGAAACCACACUCUGAAUCGAUGAGGUACCCUCUGAGGUACGCCCUCUUCAACCCAAACGAUGGUCACCACAAGUUCAUAGAUCCAGUGACUUUCGGGAUCAUGGUAGUUGAAAACCUGCUCAGUAACCCUCAUGGGCUAGCCAAAACGUUUUGGAGGAAUUGUCAUCUAAGGACCUGAAAAGGUUGAGCCCACGACAAGGUGAGACAAUGUCUCAAUAAGUUCACCCCUUAAACUCCGACUAGGAAGGAAAUACGCCUAGAGGCAGCUAUACACACAAGUCAGAAGACUUACCUUGCCUUAGUUCCCUCCUGCACGUCAGUACAGUUCAUAAUCUCAACCAAUCAAUUCAAUCCAAACCAUCCAUCCAUCAAUCCAUUCAAUCAAUCGACUCAAUUCGAUUACUACUCACCCAAGCUAAGAUUUAUUAUUAUUGCUCACCAAAGCUGACGAUUAGAUAAUGCUCUCGCAAGCUGACGUACAAUUGAACCAGAAAUAUUGAUAUUCACACUUCUAAAAUCCCACGAUUCGAUCUAGUCCUCGAAACCAUUUUUGUGUCAAAACCCAACACUCGGGAUUUUCUAAUUAAAAUAACAAAAUUUCCAAAUUUUGGAAUAAAUAUUCAAAAUCAAUAUUUCCACUCAAUUGGCACAAUUUAGCAUUCAAUUGCAUAAACUAACCAUACCAUUGCAAUCAGCACGAAAUUCUAGUCACCAGCUAUCCAGGUAUAAUUUUUGGAAAAUAAUAAAUAAUUAAAUAAAUGCAAUAAAAUACCAAAAAUGCAAACUUAAGCUGGAAUUGCUUAAUUAAACACUUAAACGAGCCCGAAAAAAUUCCAAACCUAUCUAGAUAAAUAACACAAUCUAUCUAGUCCCUAAUUAAGCCAUUAUAUCCAUCUAACAUGCAUAAAUGAAUAAUUAAAUCACUAAUCUAAUUUAACUGACCACAUAAACCAUACUCAGCCUAAACUAAUCAGCCAUUAAGCAUAAUUAACUCCCUAAGCAAAGUUUAGUGAGUAAACUCACUGGUUUAGCGAUCCGGUAAGUCCAUGGCAACAGCGACGCAGAGACGAGCAACAAACCUCCUGGCGGCGACACCAAGCGAAGCCCAGAAGAGACCUAAAAUAGGCCUUGAAGACCUCGACCCACAGCUGGGCUUCGGCCUUUGCUCCUUGGACCAAGAGGCUACUCGAGUGACCAAGAGCGGCAAGGAGGGACAGCAACGGUGCAACUAGGCCAAGCAAGCGACGGCGGAGGUGACAAACAACUUAACGGCAAUAAACGGAGGCCAGGCGACUCGGACAAGGGCUCGGGAUGACGGCCAGGGUAGGGACGAUGGCGCACGGACACACGGGCAAGCAGAACGUUGAGCUGGGCUCGCGGGCGCAAACGAGCGGCGUGCGGUGGCUCCGAUUGCUUCGACGGGUGGUCGAUGGUUCAAGGGAGGGAACUGGCGGUUUCUCUGGUUUCUCUAAGCUCUCUCAAGCCUCAACAAUGGAGAAAUGAGGGGGGAAGAGGAAGAAGAAGGCUACUGAAGUAAGUGGGACCCCAAGUGGCCUUCAAGUCUCAACACUUGUCCAAUUCUCCCUUUGCUUGCCCCCACUAGCCAUCAGUCAUCCACUUCAGCCAUUAUCCACUCCAAUCUUCCUCAAAGAACCCAAAGGAUUCAAAAUGUUGUCUCCCCCAUGGUCUAGGAAUUUUGCAUAAUCGACAUCCAAUUUGCUUCAAUUCCUCUCCAAUUGGACCUAAAUUGGAGUCUAUAAAUCCAACCAAGAUGCCCACACGUGAAUUCCCAUUUUUCCUCACCCAUUUGUCCAACUUGAAUCUCAAAAACGCAACCAAAAACAGUCCUUUGAUUUUCCCGAUAAAAAACAGCUCUAUUUUGAAUUUUCACCAAAAAUCUCGGUUUGUAGAAAAAUCUUCGAAUGAUAAGUCGACGUUCCUAAAAUAAAGUGUGACUUGACAGAACUUUAUUCGCGGUUAAUUUCAAUUAGACACGAUUUUAGCAUGACUUAACCUACCGGGUAGCUUUUAUGAAUUUUUAGCGCAUCUGACCUGUGGUCGAUUAUUUUCGAACCACAUUGUACAUCUUCGACACAUGGGGGACUCUCGGUUGUUGUAAAAAUCUCGAGAUUUCAAAUAUGGACACAGGAUACAGAAAUGACAGAAAAAUCGAUCUAAUGCCGAUCGAUGAGAAUUUUGCAAUUAGGUGGAAUCACCCACACUUAAUCACAUGGCUCAAUCGAGUUGACCUAUCUCCGGUCUCUAAUCGAUUUUGACAAUGCCAUAAUGACCCUCGUAGAUUAGCACAGUCGAGCAACCAAUUCUUAAUCGAAUUCUCAAGUCUAUUGCGUUUAGAUUCCUUAAGGGCUUCACCUAAUAGACUAGUUAUCCCAUGAGUGACCAGUUCAAAGAAAAGAACUACAGGCACGUCGAUAAAAAGCCCAACUUAUUCAAUCAAAAACAGAACCCGAAAAUCAAAAUGUCACACGUGAGUUGUGGAAAUGAUUCAUUUAGGCUUAAAUUUGUUGUGAUUGUUGCUGUGAAUCGUUUGCUAUUGUUAUUUAUGCUUGAUCUUCAUAUAUGAAUGCUAUGGAUGGUUGUGUGAGUGUGUUAUGUAAUAUGAUCUUUGCAUAUAAAUUCUCGUAGGUCAUGGUCGAAGCCUGAGUUCAUAUUGAGCGGUCGAAUCUAGAACAGCGUUGGUUCUUGGACAUGCUUGGAAGUGCGACAAGCUAGGUCACUCUCUUGGUUUAGCGAUAUUGAGGCAUAUCAUUCGAUCCAAGUUUGACCUAGGCCGGUACUUGAGCAUCACGAGUCAAGCGACGAUUCCAAUUUCAUGAUCAACAUACUUUAUUGUCGCAUUUACGAUAGAUCAUGAGUUACACAUCACUUAGCACGCCCGUGGGGCAUUCAUACAUGGACUAAAGUAAAAGAUAAAAUCGAUUACUUGAAUGCUUGAUUCAUGUGGUCAUAUGAGGAAUAAUAUCACUGAGAUUUCGGGGGACGGUGCCUCCACGUCAAUGGGAUGUCGUUUGCGGAAUGUGUUAUAUCAAAACGACGCCUGAAAGGAUACCUGAUGGAUUUCGAAUACCGUGUUCGAUGGAGCAAAAUGAUAUCCCGGAGAUUUUUGGAAAAACUAUAGGGUUUUGGCUAUAUGUGAUUAAUAAUUAGCCUCAAGAUAGCAUGGUAGUAUGGAAUGCCAUGUGAUUCUCGAGUCACUAAACUUGUGCAAAGUAUUUGAGUGCUAUGUGCAUACUCUAGAAGUUAUUUUAUGGCUUGCGCAUGUUUGACAUGGACUUAUAUAAGAUGCAUGACAUGUGCAUGAUUUAAAUGUCAUUUUCAAUGAAUUAGAACGCGCGUGCAUGUUAUGGUCGUCAUUGUUCAUGAAGUGAGAGGCACGUGGAUGUCCUAAAAGUUGUUGUUUGAGUCUUGAAGGCUUUAAUAAUGCUGUGGAUGCUAAUACCCAUCAUGUGUGAAUAUUAUUGGCGAUAAUUUGCACUAUUUGUCACUGUGUGGAUUUGUAUGCCUUUGCCUAGGACUCAAGGGACUUAGGUUGAGGGUAGGUUCCAUCAUGUAUAUAGUUAAGGCAAAGCAUAGACUUUGCUAUUAAUCUACCAUCAACAUGUUUAGGUCGGGAAAUCGUAAGGCUCUGAUGCGAGAUAUCCGCUUAUACGAGAUUUAGGAUCUUUACUUAUUAAGUUUUCAACUCACUGUUGUUGUUUAACCUUUUUUCAGGUCAAUAGGUAUGGACCCCUUACUCACCGCUUCAUGCAUUCUGGAGUGCUUGUAAGCAUGAAGGUCACAGUGAUAGACGUGUUUAGGGAGGAUGUGGCUAAUUGACAGGUCACGACCACUGUCUGUGUUGACGAGGGGUACCGCAACCUUAUCCCACACGGCUGUCAAGCACGAUAUGUGUGGUUCAAUGGGGACCUCUUUGGACCCAUCUUUGGAUUCCGCGGCCCACCUGGACCAAGUGAGGACGCAACCCCACCAAACAUAUGCCUAGACAGCUGGUCCUACCAAGGAAGCCACUUCUGUUUUAAUCUCAUUAGAUCAUAUAGGCUUCCCCUUGCAGCUUUAAACCCCCACCCCCCUUUUUGAUUUUUUUUGUGAGGGGAUGACCAGUCAUAACGGCCCUAGAAAUGAGGGCUCAUAAAUUGUAAACAUUCUGAGUAGAUAAAAAAAGCUUGGAAGUUAUGCAAUGUGUGUGUGUCUUUCUCCCUGACUAUUGGGUGAUUGGAGAUUGCAUGCUUUGGCAUGGGCUUAAUGAAAAGAUAAAAUUAAUGGGAUGGUGAUGCCUCCUGGAACGUCACAAAUUAAUCCCAAAGAGAACGAGGGUAAGGUCUGGGAUAUGACAAAGAAAGUUCCAUCUAUUUUUCUCACCUUGUACUAUCACCCUUACCUCCAUUCUGCCCUAGUGUGGGGUGAUUCGCAAUAGGGUUAACUUGAAAGAAAUUCUUUCAACGUGUAACAUGGAAUGCCCCUUGUCAUUUCGGUCCACUUACCUUUUCAUGAGAAAACCCUUUACCUUGAAGACAUUAAAUUUUUCGCUCAUCUCUUGGUGUAUAAAGGACUAUAAGAUAGAGCUUGCCAUUCAUUAUCUUGACACGUCUCGGGUAGUAUUCUCAAAUAAUUCUACAUAAUUCAUUAGAUUGUCUGUUUUGACAAGUUCAUAAUAGAAUUUAUGAAAUAGGCAAUAUUAUCAUGCAAAGUAUCCCUUCGAAAAAUAUGAGCAUUUUAAGAGCUUGUCGACUUUACGCAUGAGAUAGCUUUUAAUUUCAGAGUAAGUAGGUUAUCAUGACAAAGAGUCUAUCACGAAAAUUUUGACGCAAGAGAUAUGACCUCAAACACUUAAAUUUUACCAAAGGGUCAAACAGGGGAGUUGGACCCUAGCACACCGAGAAGUACUCCUACAAGAGACAAAAGGAUGGCUCUAAUGCAGCAACGUCCCUGCUAAGAUAAAGUGUCAAACUUGAGAAUAUCGAACACGCUUAGAAAUGGUGUUCAUGGAUUGUCCCUAUUAUAAGGGGAAAGGACAAAUGAAUUGAAUAGUCGGUAUUGGAAGUCUGAUCUACGAUUUGAUAGAUGCCUUGGCUUUACUCUUGCCCCUAUACAAGCGAAUGUGCAUGAAUAGGAUAUUAUGUGAUGCAAAGGCAAAGGCAAAGGCAAAUGCAAGCUAAGACUUUGGAUAAUCCUACUAUCCAUCAAGGCACUAUCUUAAUCAGAUCAUUCAAUCUACGUUCGCUAUUGGGGUCUAACAUUCCCCUUAAUUCAUCAUCUGCGAAAAAGACUAACAAAAUGUCAUUUCCAAAAUUAAUUAUGUUCCAGACGAGGUGCACCUUUUUUCUCAAAAGAUCGGAUGUCUCUCUUUUGAGUUGCCCCUACUUUCUCAUCAGUGUGCAGGGUUGCAUCAAGCAUGAAGUUGAAAUGUGUGAAGCACUCCUUUUGGCUCUGCGGAGUUGGCAUCACGCCCAAAUAGAAGGUGAUCCUUUGCGUCACAUUAAUCGGAUCCAAAAUAUUCUCAGACAAUCUUGCAAAGAUCAUUUUAGUAUAGACAAGAAUCAUUGUCAGUUCAGCUCAAUUUUCUUAGAAACCAAGGCUAUAACGCAUGACUGUUAUGCAAAAACAAGAUCAAGUUACCACUUGAUUGGCAUAGAAUAUGGCUUAUGCACCUCACGUUUGUUUUUAAGCCACAACAGGCUUUAUUUGUAAUAUGCAAGAUGUUAUGCAUGUCAUUUCGAAAAUGCUUUUGCAAAAUUUUGGAAGGAACAAGAAGAAGCCCAACCUUCAAAAUUACCUUUUUGCCUCAUUUUUUAUUAGUAGGAUUUAAUCACGGGGUUAGUUUGAUAUAUUUCAACAUGUCCUCAAAAUAUGAAAACUUUAAUGAAUUGCAUUUUAUUGAAUGGAAAUCAACGAACUAGAUUAUUUGGAAAGGGAAAUCCUACAAAACAAUCAAAUCCUAAGAAGUAGAUCCUAAAAAGUAAGAAAUACUCCUAUACAGAGGAGUGUGCAAAAAAUUAAAAUGGUUCCUACUCUAAAGGGAUGAGAAGUUGAGCCUUCAAUUUUACUCAAUGAUCAGAUCGGUGCUUUCUUCACGAUUGGGUUGUGCAUUGCGGAAUGAGAACACCUUUGCUUCUAUCAAAUCUUGGACUUUGUAUUUCAGGAGGAGACAAUUAUCUGCGGAGUAUCCCAUUGACUUGGAAAAUGGAGCAGUAAGCAUAACAAGUAAAGGUCGGUCCACGACAAUGGUCGAACGCCUACCUUAUUAGUUGUGAAAGAUUGUUCAUUUAUGAAACAUUGAAAUUGCGAACUUUAAAACCAUAAGUUUAAAGUGUUAUUCAAAUGGUAUGGCGAUUGACUCAUGUCAUGGACCGACGCCAAAUUAGAAACACGACAAGCUAAGUAGCAUAGAGAAGAGUGUGUGAAACUUACCUGAGCAUCGAAAGAUGGCAACAUAUGACAAUGUGAGGUUUGACGCCUACAACUUAAAAGACUAGACAAAUGGGGCCAAGAGGGUGAGCAGACUAAUAGCAGUCUAGCGGACUAAGGUUGGGUCCUCCUAACUCCGGCUCAAUGAAAAGGUUGUCCUAUGACACUUUAGACAUCAAAAAGAAAUUUUGGAGUUGAAAAGGGUAACCUUUAGUCUUGCGGUCUUGCAAAUAAGUUGCAUCCCUCUCAACACCAGCCUCACUUUUCCUAAAUUGCGAUCCAGGUACUAUGGCAAGUUGUAUGUGCAAGAAUGUAGUGCUAAUGCAUUAAAAGCAUGCACAACAACUUAUGAUGCAAUCACCACUUCAAUAUUAAAUUAAAGCAAUCACUCUCAACACCGUUCUGCAAACAAAGAUUAGUAAAGACUACUCACCAAUUAAGAGAAUCAAUCUCUAAGAACGUCCGCCCCUCGCUCUCCCCCUCUUAGGGUUUCCUCUUUCCAAAGCCGCUAGCCCCCUUUUUUGAAGCUACAUUCUAGAGAGACAGAGAGAUCCCUCUCUUAGGAUUUCCUCUCCCUUCCUCCCUCCCCCUCUCUCUAUCUCCCUAUCUCUUUAUCUUCAAGACUUUUUCAAGACCUCUUCCCGUUCGUUGAUUUCGAGGACAACGCUAUGGACAUCCUCCCCAAAAGUGGUGAGGUUUGUCGCCGUGGCCUCUGAAGAUCGAAGCAGGAGCGCCUCAGAAGAAUUUGCUCCCUCCGAAUUUGCUCGCUUACUUACUCUAGGUGUUUGCUCCAUACAGUCGAGCGCCCUACAAAUCUCCGAAGCUUAUCUACUGCGUUCAAUGGUUGGCUUAUCUGAAAGUGAUUUGCGGUCAACUAGUAUCUAUUUUGCAACUUCUCUCCUAAUUUAGAAUUAAAUCAAGAUUUAGGUGUUCUUCUAUCCCGAUUUAACUAUAGAUCUGGGAUUUACAAGGUAUUAUUAGUGCUCUUAAACCUAUUGGUGUUGUUGUCGUCUCUAAAUGGUAAUGGUGCCAAGGACGUCCACCACCUUUUGGCCGUUGUCCUUUGAAGUUAUGACAGAUCCAUUCUUGUGGAAUGAGCAAGUUUCUGCAAGCUAUACUAAGCUGUUUCAUUUUUCGGAUUUGCACUAUAGUGUAACUUUUGGUUGGUUUUGUCUUGAAAUUAUGUAUCUCUAUUAUGCGAAAUAAAAAAAAUUUCCUUCUAACAAAAAAAAAAAAAGACUACCUCCUUAUAACUCUUAUCUAUAAUACCAUUUAACACAAUAAUUAGUGGUCUACAUGCUGCCACACAAAAAUAUUUUUGAAAAGAGAAAGUUCAUGGCCUAGGUCCACUAUAAAUUUUAACUCAAAUCCCUAGUAAAGUGCCAAGCUAUUGUGACCUUCCCAAAGUUAAACUACUAAGGGAAAGCUAAUGAGUUACUAAGCCAACACUUAAUGCAAGCUCUCCCAAGCUCAUACAAUCGUAACGUUGAGAUUUUAAUUUAAUCAAAUAAAAACGCCAUUCAAUUCUACUAGGAGUCGUCAUGAAUUAUUAUGAGUCAAUUAGAAACUCAAGUAAAAUGUGGGAGAACAUUUUAUUUCUUUGAACUAGAGAUUUCGUGAAUAAGGAUCACGCUAGAUAUAUAUAACGCCAUUUUGAUAUUUUUAUUUUAUAUGAAAAUUAUUUUACAAGCUAUCUAAGUCAAUUUUAGGGCUAAACUACUAACAUGUGAGAGAUAAUCACACGAGUGCACAAAGUGAGAAUACAACACUCAAUGAUCUAAGCGAUGAAUAAAUUACUUGACGAGACAGAAAAACCCUGAUGUGUUAUGCAAAUAUUCCAAUAAAUGUUCUCCAAGAUUUUAACUAAAUACAAAGCAACAAUGUGAUGUAUGCAUAACUUAGACAUGAUUUCUAAAUAUGAUUAUGCAAUGAUAAUCAAUUCAUAUAGGGCUUUUCUUGUUUAACAAAAACAUGAAUUAAUUAAAUGCUAUGACUAUUAUACUCUAGCGUGCAUUGAUGAACUUACAAGAAACAUUAAAUGACAUAUACGCUAUUUUAAUUAAAUUGAAUCCAACCUAUAUGUGGUUCUAACGACAAGGAAUAUGAUCAAUUAUAAAUUAACCUUAUUAUUUAACCUACUUGUGAGAUUAUUUUUUGUGUCUCCUUUUUAAUAAAUAAGAGACUAUAUGCAAUGCAUGAAAGACAAUGAUUAAUCCGUAUGACAUGACCUACACAUGUGAUUGGUAAAUGAUGUGGAUAUCAUGAAACUAAUUAAAUUUAUAUACUAAUGACGAGCAAAAGAAAUAUGAAUUAAUCUAAGAUGGCAUGCAAUAUAUGAUAUGAGUAUUAUAAAACAAAUAGCAUGCAUGUGAUAUUUUGAUAUUUUCUUUUUGAAAGUUAAAAUAGGAAAAUACUUAAAUGCCUGAUGACCUAACUUAAAUAAGAAAAUAUUUUAUAUUAAGUUCUAAUGAAAUUAGUUAAUUUCCUAAUUACUACAUAGUUCCUACGCUAUGCAACGCUAAAUUACGGAACUAAAUGAAUGCAAUUUAUCCUAAAUGCAAUGCAAGGCAAUCUUUUUUGUCUUUUCAUAAUAUGAUUGUUUCCUAAAUUAAUGGCAUGCAAUAUAUAAGCCCACAUAAUCAAAUAUUUGCUACAUCCAAAUAUGAAAUAAAGGUAAUUUGGGAAUCCAAUCUUAGGUCUUAAAAUGAAUUCAUUUUAACCACAUCAACAUCUUCACUUAGCCAGAUUGAACAGAGUGAAUAGAAAAACUUGAUUAUACCAAUUUAACAAAUUUUAUGAUUUAAUUAUAUUUUUAUUGUAAGUUUUAAGACUUCCAAUGUACUUAUUCCUUUUUUUUAAAACAACAAAGCUCACAAGCUUGUUUGCUGACAAGCUUGUUUGAUACAUCCUUUCAACAUUAAAAUAAUGCAACUAUUAGAAAAAAGUGCUAUGAGUCAUACUAUGUGUUUGGCCAACUGUUCACAUAUGCGUUAUCCUCACGAUUGCAGCCGCUUAUGAUAGCUUUGAGAGGCUAUCUCGCUUGGUUUUGAAAUGCUGCAACUUUAGAACAUGCACUACAUGCACAGAUUCAUCGCACUUCACAUCACGCUUGUACUAUAUUUAAAAAGAGCUGUAGAAAAUAAAUAUUUAAUACCUUGACCAAGACUUAGCUUUUGGUUGAUUGACAAACACAAAUUUCGGAUAUGUAAUUUAUUUAUUUUUCCGUUCAUUUCUUCCAUCAACUUGUCACUUGAAAUUUCAUCGCCUGUAUCCAUCUUUUUGAAGAACUCCCUCCAUCUUUUUGAAGAACUCCCUUUUCUUAACAUCUACCAUAAAAAAUAAGAAUAAUAUCACCAAAAACCACAAACAGUAUCAAUAAUUAAUUUAUCCUAAGCUAAUUUUUGACAAUCAAAAAUUCCAAAUUGAUACUUGUGUAAUAAAUUCAUCAAACUAAUACAUUUGUAAUUAGAUUAAUGGCAUAAAAAAUCACAAAAUGGUACACAUGUAACAUGUGAAUUGUAAAACCCCAAAUUCGUAUACCCGUCAACUGCCACGUGUCAUCCAAUUCAGUAAUCUGAUGAUAAAGUUUAAUAAAAAUUAACAGAGGGUAAAUUUGUCACGAGUAUACCAAUUUGAUUUUUUUUUUGUCACUAAUGCACUAGAUUUGGGUUUUUGUGGCAUUAAUCUUAAAAAACAAUGGUAUAAGUGCACUGAAACUCUAAAUCUUAUCGCGAAAGUGCAAUUAAGUUAUAAAAAUUUCAAAAAAUAUAAUUAUGUCGUAAAACUUGUCACGAAAGUAUAAUUAAGUCUUGCAACUUUUAAAAAGCAAUUGAUGUAAGGACUUGAUUGAACCAAUUUGACAAAUUUUAGGAUUUAAUUACUUUUUUUGAAAGUUUUAGAACUUAAUUAUACUUUCAUGAUAAGUUUUAUGAUUUAAUUUCAUCUUCAUGACAAGUUCUAGGAAUUCUAAUACACUUAUCACUUUAAUAAUAAAUGGAUGUAGAUACGAAAUGCUUUUAUUUGUUGACAAAUUAAAAAAAAAAAAAAAAAAACCCCUUAACAUUCAUAUGACACUUUUGUACCAUAACAUUUUAAUCGACAUCAUAACUUUUAGAAAAUGUUCACUUUUGUGCCAUAACUUUUCAAUUAAUCACCUAAAUGUUUGAAAAUUUCUUAGGAUGUUAAAACUUAUGGCUUUUGUGGUGGACAACUUUUAAAAGUUAUGGCAUUAGGUUAUCGAUUGAAAUUGUUAUGGCACCAGAGUUAGCAUUAUAUGAAAGUUAUGGCAUGUGUGGUGUCCUCAUCCCAUCAUUUCAUCACUCAUCUCCUUCUUGCACUGAGGAAGAAUUACAAAUUACAAAUUACAAAUUACAAAUGGGCAAAUUGUCUGGUCAAUUCUGAUCAUAUUGUAUGAAUGUCAAUUCAAUUAUAAACUUCAAUUCAGUGUUCAACAUUUGCAUGAAAUUUCAAUAUAAACAUCAUCACCAAGUUUCACUAAAAACCGCUAACGUGGCAAUGCGCAAUGUAAGAUAGCCGGCAACAACUAGACCACUAUGUUGGCAAAUUUCAACAAAAAUUGAUUAGAGUGAUCAUAUCGAAAUUUUGCGCAAAGUUUUAGAAUUAAAUCGAUAAAAUUAAAAGUUAAUUUACAUUAUUAGGACUGAUUGGGCAAUUUUCCCAUAAUGUCAUUCUACGCAUUCUAAUUAAAAAAACACGUUAAAAGGACACUUGUUAAGCAGCAGUAAGUGUGAUUAGAAGUGCAAAUCUAUGGAAUACAGAGUAGGUUGUUUUCAUGUAAUAUCCGCGAUGUCAAUUCUUUAAGUCUCUAGACAAAUCGUGUUUCUUCCUAUUUUCCCCUUAAUUAGUGUUGUGAAAUUAGUUUCACAUAAGUCAUUUUAGUUAAAUUAUAUAGUGUAAUUUCUACGGGAGUCUUAUUGUAGCCACACAUCAAGAGUAACCACUUAAAACACUUAAUAUCGAUGAUUAAAUAAGAUUAGUUAAAAGUAAUUAAGCAGAAAGGGGAGACCUGACUAAAAGCACUCUUUAAUUCGUAUUUUUCAUAGAGAAAUCUCUGAUCAACUUAUCUUUUCUUGAACAAUAACACGUUUACAAAAGAUGCACAAAAUUACACUAAAAACUACAGAUGAAACACAAACCGAUUCGCUUCCUAUAACAUUACUGACCAAAUCUAGCGUAACUUCCUACAAGUUUGCCUGCUUUGAUGAACACAAGAAAGAAACAUUCCAGUGGGAAGGAAAUAUACUGAUAUUUACAUCAAGCAAAUGAGCCCGCCCUUCAAACACGAGACAGAGCAUCCUCGAUGCGGUCAUCUUCCACCUUCUCCGAGCACAAGCUGGGAGGGACGUAAGCUCGGAAGAUGCGCUCCAUGUCCAGCGUCUCCUUCAGCUCGUGCGAGGCAACUUCCAGCGCUGGGCAGCAGAAGGAGCGAUAGAACUUCUUGUUACACACGUAGGCAAAGAUAAGGCUCGAGAUGACCAGCGGUAGCAGGAGAGGCGCAUAGUAGAAUUUCUUUGUCCCAAAGUAGGCAAGCAUAGUGAGCUGGUAAAGGACAAGAGAAGCUAGGAUUCGCAAAUGGAUGUGCGGCCACAUUCUUCCGUAACUCUCAUAGGAUGGAACAUAAACCUUAAGUGCCUGUCGACCAAAACGAUCAUAUGAAAGUUAAGGAAUGCUCUAGAAGAGGCAAAGAUGUGCAAAGUCUUUGACUUGAAACUAAAGUACGAUGUCGAGUUAGCCACUCAACCUGAUUUCGAAGAAUAAGCCAUCCUAAGCCGAAGUAUACAACACCAAAUGGGAUGAUCAGAGGAGCAAUGACAGAAUAGCAGAGGGUAAUCGUGACGAUCAGCAAGUCUCCGGGAACUCUGGUCGCGUAUCCUUGAUCUCCAGGAUACCAUGCUUCUUUGACUUCAGCUUCAGUCUUGCAAAGGUAUUUCCUCUUCAAGUGAAAAAUAAUCAGAGGAACGAUCCGAGAAAGCUCGAGACCGUAGCCAAUGAAGGACCUGAUGGCCAUUUCCCCAAAUUCAGACAUUAGCAUCAUCACUCUACCAAGAAAGCAGAGGAAAAAGUCCAUGCAAGAACUAUGAAGUGAAACGUAACCAUACUAUUGAUUUCAUGAUGGCCAUAGGAAACUGGAAUUCAUUUUAAGGAACAUAGAAACUACAAAUUAUGAGAAUAACAAACUGACCUAAUGCACACAUAAGCAAAUCCAACUCAAUUUUUUUUCUUUAUGUUCCCUUUCGCAUCAAAUUAAGAAUAUCAGAAUCUGUCACUCAGCAAGUUAGAAGUUAAUAGAAGACUGAGGAGGAACAAAAACAUCUUACCUCAAAGCAACAAAAGUGAGGAAAAAUGUUGCAUUAUCAGGUAGACUGGCCGCCAGUAUUGUGAGGAGAGAGUUGGGAUCUUUCUCAAUCUUCUUGAAUGUAGCAAACAAGGUUCCACCCACAGUAACGCCAAUAAACACAUUCAAACUUGUGAAGUAGAAGUAUUUUCCAGAGGCAGCACGUUCUAUAUGGCUCUGGGAAGGAAUCCCCUCUAGCUUGGACAGAAACAACAGCAACUUGGGCAACAAAGCCAGAAACACGAGGAGCACAAUCUGAGGGAGAUAAGCUUCCAACAAAGUUCUGAUCGUUGCAAUAUCCACAAUCGACUUCAAAAACGGGAGAUAUUUCUUCAGAUUUUCCAGAGUCGUAAAGGCAGAAACAAACGUGAUCGGAAUCAUGUAGAAGAAAAUGGUCAGAGCCACUAUAAUGUAGAUGACGUACUGCCGUAUCUGUCGCUGAAAAAACUUAAUCGCAAGAUUAGUCCAUAUGAUUUGACGAGGUUCAGGUGCAUCCAUCACAAUCCAUUUGUCAGGCAUUGUGGCAUGCAGGCUCUGUGCUGCAGAGGCUGCGGUCACCCUGUUAGUAAAGAAGACCAGAGCCGCUGCUUGCUGCUUAUCUCUCAAGGUGGCUAUCUGCUCAGCUUCAAGCUUUGGAGUCAGUUCACUGAUCUUCUCACUGUAGUAUUCUAUACUGUCCACCUUUUCCCCAAUAAGACCUAGGAAGCCGGUUUUGUUUGUGGGUCUUACUCCUUCCGGUUUGCCGGUUGUCUUUGAUUCUCCAUAAAUUUUUUCAGCACGUACAAGCUUUUUCUUGUACCCUUCCAACUCUUUGUAGAUUUUGUUAACCUACAUGAUAACAUAUAACAAGGAAAGGUCUCUCAAUGGAUGAAAUCAAAAGAUGAAAGAACAAGUUGUUCUACUAUGCCUACAUUCUCUGUCACGAUAUAUGACCAAAACUUUCACGAGAGGAACUUUUAAGUAUACGACAGAUCUUUAUCCCUCCAAGUAUUUCCGGGCAUGGAUGAGAUAAUGCCUCUAUGAACAAUACGGGGUCUGCGGCAGUGGCACAGUAAAGAAGUCCAUAAACCAUGAUCUUUUUAUUUUUUAUUUUAAAGGUUGAACUGGGAAGUAAACUACGAUAUAUUGAAUACUGCAUUCCCAACCCUCUCUUGGUACUGAAAAACACCUAUUUUGUCCUUUAAUAAAUCAGAGAGCACCCAUACAGUGGGGUAAGGUUCAACCAUGAUUGUUUUCAAUACACAUACAAUGAAGUCAUGACCUCAACUAUUUGUGUUAAGUAGGACUAUCUCUCUAUGGUGGUCUUAUUUUGGUUCAUUAAUAGUAGUGCGGCUACUUCUGCCAUAUGACAAACCACAUAAAUGCACUUCCUUGUUUUGUGGACUUCAUAUCACACUCCCACUUAAAGCUGCCCAACAAACUGCUAUCUCCCUUUUGCUUCGGUCUUUCCUUGAGAACCUCUACAUAACAAAAGGGCUCAAUACUCAUCCAGCCCCACAGUAAUACAUAAUUACUCAUCAAGCCCCACAGUAAUUUAUAAUCCUCCUCAACUAGAAUUAAUUAUGAAAAUAGUCCAAAGCCAGGUCAGCAGUUCCUAACCAGUACCAUGAUAUAAAUAGCACUAGCUGCACCGCCACUGUGGUGGAGAAAUCAUUAAAAGACUAACCAUCAGGAACCACACAGUCUUUUUUAUGAUAUUCUCACCUGUGUAUUCUAGCCAGCAACCAGAUACUUUAAAUAGUCGCAAUAUAUACUCACAUGCAUGUCAAUAUAGUUAAAAAAAGGACAAAGUUUGCAGAACUUAUAGCAAGACUUAGCAUAGCAACAACUGAGGAACAAAUAGAGUAUUCUAGAAAGAAACAUUAGAAAGCAUACCUCUUUAUUAUUAGUCACUAUCAUCGACCUGUAAAAUGCAUCGGGAUAAAUAGACUUGAAAUAUGAAUCAACUUGUUCCUUCAUAAUUUGACCUUCUGGGGCAGGAGGUAUGUCUCUCACAAGGACAGCAAAGUGCUCUGCUCUCACUUCGGGAAGUAUUAAAGCAGCUGCUCUCAAAGCUAAAACGUGUUUGUAUGCCUUCCACAACAGGUAGUAUGCAACAAUUGAGACCCAGUAAGUAGCUAUCAGGAAUACCCACAACCUCGAACUUUUCUCCUGUACAUACAAAAGAAUGUGACUUAGAAAACAAGCACUGAUUUUCUCUACUCAACAACAUUGUCCACCAAUUCCUUCCCCACCAAGUAUGAUAUGAUGAAUACCUCCAUAGUUUCCAAAAUCUACUUCGAUCAAUGUCCUAAAAUUAUGGUAGAAUUAGGAAAUGCAACAUUUCUCUCUACCCUUGACAAGACAAGAAAAAAGAAAAUCCUUGUGCAAGAUUUCUAAAACUUACUGCCACAUUUCCCAUUGACAACUUGUCAAGAUCACUGAAUGUCCCAUUGCUGGUUGUGUCUGAUGAUGCGAUUGGAGUUUUGUCAGUGACAGCAACAGGUAGAAGAAUCGGUAGGAGCACAAUGCCGGAUAAAACUAAUAUUCCCAACACUGUCACGAAGUAAAAAGGGAAAAAGUCUUCAGGAUUGUCACUUCUACAGACGGCAGAGUAUUUCAAAUAUACAAGCACAAGAGUUCAUCUAAAACAAUACAAGAAAAACUAAAGUGAAAGCUUCCACAAUUAUGGAUUCUAAAACAUGCAAAACAGAGUUCUGACCAUCCAGGGGACCUCGAUACCAAUAUGUAUGCCAUAAAUUAAAUUGAGUGAUUGUAGAGAAUACACAAACAAGAAGCAAAGGAUAACAGAGAAAUGGCAACUUUAGACUUGUUUAUAAGUCCCACCUCAUUUGUGUCGAGAAUUCCAAUCGCCUGUAAUUAUUGAUAGCUGAUGACAGAUAUAAUUAGAUUGCCUGCUAGUACGCGGGACUUCUAUGUAACUAAGAAUGCCAACCCCCCAUUACUGUCCCACAUAUGGGAUUACACAGGUAAAAUUCUUAGGAAAAUAGAAAAUCUACUUCUCUUUUCUCCUUAAAAUGAGAAACCAUCCCUUCCCCCCCCCCCCCCAAAAAAAAAAAAAAAAAAAACAAAACAAAUGUCACAAAGCCUAACUUAUUUGAGAGGUUAUAAACACGAAUGCUCAUCAAAAUCUGAUUGUAGCUAAUUUCCUGCAACAACAGAAUGCAAGUAUGGUGAGUGCCUCGAUAUCAACUCUUCCGGUUAAGCACAACUGUUAGUGCAAGUGGUAUGUAUCACCAGCCCCACAGUAUGUGUUUAAAAAAACGCUUGGGCUCACCAACCAUGUUGCAAAAAGGAGCGAUGACUAUCACUUAGGAUAAUGGAGCAGCACAAAUUGCAGGUCAUAUUUGGCCCUAGAAACUCAAAAUCCACUCACAAUCACGAAAAAAGACCUAUUUUCGUAUUUCCAUCUAGGUGAGUCUAACUUCUUACUCCACAAAUUGCGCCAUUUAAUCAAGUGAUGCAGGAUAGGAUUCCGGCCAUGGCAUGAAAGCAAAAUGCUGCGAGAAGUGUCAAUGUAGCCCUUGAAAUGGAUUGUCCUAAAGGCAUGAUUUAGCAACCAAAUCAACCACUAAAAUUCAUCAAACAGACCGAAAAUCAUAUACCAUAAACGAGCCAAACCAAAACAACACCCAUAAAAGAAAGAUUAACCAAUAAAAAGGUGCAGCCACCUUCACCUGAGAACCACUAGAAAGCACAAAAAGAAGCAAUCAUCUUCAGAAAGAACAGUCCACGACUCCCACUCGACUUGCAGAAAGACGCACCCAAGCGCCGCGUUCAAACCAACCAGUGAACAACGACGGACCCCGCCGCCCCCGGCAGCCGCUACUCCCCCAGAAGAAGCGCCAACGUCACAUUACAAGCACCCAAACAAAGCAAGAAAGGAACAGACAACGGCGGAAAAAAUAAAAAUAAAAAUAAAAAUAAAAGGCACGGCACGGCCACUCACCGGUGCUGAGGAAGACGAAGUAGACGGCGGUGUCGACGCCGGACACGGCGACGACGUCCUGCUCGGUGGAGGAGAGGGCCUCGCGGAUCCAGGCGAAGGGGUUGCGGGAGGUGCGGUUGCCGCCCUCGAAGGGGUCCACGCCCCUGAGGAGGCGGUUGGGGUAGUACACCACCUUGUUCCCGGGCCGGCGGGAGAGCCACGGGAAGAGGACCAAGAGGACGAGGAAGAUCACGAAGGACGUGAUCAUCGACGUCAGGAACGCGCUGAAAUCCAUCUCGGUAUCCCCCGCCGCCGCCGCCGCCGCCGCCGCUGCCGCCGCCUACCUCUGCCGCCUCGGCACCAAGCUUCCUUCACAGCGUCACAGCGCCAGGGAGGGAAAGAGAAAGACAGUUUUUUUCUUUCUCGCGGAAUGCGAAGUGGGCAGGGAGAGGAAAGGUCAGGGGGGAGAGGGUGGUGGUGGGCUAUGGCGUUGGUGGAGUUAUAAUAACGCAAAGCAUGUCGACUGGAGAGACGAGGAGAGAGAGAGAAAGCUGACGGGGCUUAGAGAGAGAGAGAGAAAAAUCUGGCUGCUGUGGAGAAAAUGGUGAUGAGCUGGCCUGUGGGGCCGCCUCGCUGCUUUGCUUGCGCGGCUCGCUCUGCGUGGGAAUUAUCUUUGCUGCAUUUUUUCUUUUGGAUUCGUGGUGGUGCAGCAUGUUGCAUCGUUAUUUUACUGCACAGACAGAGAGAGGGAGAGAGGGAUGAAGGAAGGGAGACCGUUGAGGUGGGGGAGAGCGCUUUCUUUUCUUGACCCGCCCGCCUUCCUGCGAAUCGGGGACGUUCUUGUCCGCGCGGCAAUCGAAUCCUCCCGCGGUCCUCACGCGUAGCAAGUGGUCGACGGGACGGGACGUGCCUUGCUACUCUCCGUAGACAGUUCAUACCCACCCAGUUCAAACACAUCAUAAAGUCAACACCGACUUAGCUUCUGGUCGGUCGACAUACACAAAUUUCGGAUUACGUAAUUUUCUUUUCUCCAUUUCUUCCAUCAACUUAUCCAUCUUUUCAAAGAACUCCCUUUUCUUAACUUCUACCAUAAAAAAAAAUAAUAAUAAUAUCAUGAAAAACCCCAAAUAGCUACGUCCGUAAUUAAUUUACCCAAGCCAAUUUUUUGACAACCAAAAACUCUAAACUAUUACUUCCGUAUUAAAUUUCUCAAACUAAUACAUUUAUAACAAAUUUAACCUCUGUUUAUUUCCAUUAAAAUUGGAUCAAUAUCAUACAAAAUCACAAAAUGGUACACAUGUGAUAAAUAAAUGGUAAAACCCCAAAAUGGUAUAUUCGUUAACUGCCACGUGUCAUCCAAUUCAGUAACUUGACGAUAAAAUUUAAUAAAAAUUAACGGAGAAUAAAUUUAUCACAAAUAUAUCAAUUUAGUUUUUGUUGUCACUAAUACACUAAAUUUGGGUUUUUAUGGCAUUGACAUUAAAAAAUAAUUAUAUAAGUGUAUUAAAGCCCCAAAACUUAUCGCGAAAGUGCAAUUAAAUCAUAAAAAUUUGAAAAGUACAAUCAAAUCACACAACUUGUCAUGAAAGUAUAAUCGAAGCUUGAAACUUUUGAAAAGCAAUCAACAAAAAGACUUAACUAGAUCAAUUUAACAAGUUUUAGAAUGUUAAAGCUCUUUUUAAAAGUUUUAGGGCUCAAUUACACUUUCAUAACAAAUUUUAGGAUUUAAUUUCAUCUUCAUGACAAGUUUUAGAAAUUAUAAUACAUUUAUCUCUUUAAUAAUAAAGGGAUGUAGAUACAAAAUACUUUUAUUUGCUGACAAUUUUUUUUUCUUAAAGUUGCCCCUUGUUUAAAUAAAGACAUGACCAUUUCUAAGAAAGUAGACACCACAAAUUCCAUAAUAUUCAUAUGGCACUCGAUUUUAUGCCAUACAUUUUCAAUCGAUCACCCAAGUGUCUGAAAAUUUGUUAAGACAUUAAAACUUGUGGCUUUUGUGGUGAAUAUCUUUUAAAAGUUAUGGCAUUAAGUUAUUGAUAGAAAUUAUUAUGACACCAAAGUAAGCAUUAUAUGAAAGUUAUAGCAUACUAGGUGUCCACCUAUCAUCAUUUCAUCACUCAUCUCCUUCUUGCAUCGAGGGAGAAUUACAAAUUACAAAUGGGCAAAAUGUCUUGUUGUAUGGAUGUUAAUUCAAUCUUAAACUUUAUAGUUUACUUAAUUUAGUCUUUAACAUUUACACGAAAUUUCAAUUUAGACCUUCUGACCAAGUCUCAUUGGAAACCGCUAACGAGGCAAUGUGCCGCGUAAAAUAGCUGACGAUGGCUAAACCGCUAUGUCAGCAAUUUUCAACAAAAAUUGAUCAAAGUGACCAUAUUGAAAUUUUGCCCAAGGGUUUAGAACUAAAUUAAUCAAAUUAAAAUGUUUAGAGUUGAAUAUAAAUUUUUAGGACUAAUUGGGCAAUUUUCCCUCAAUGUCAUUCUAUGUAUUCUAAUGAAAAAACAUGUUAAAAGGACACUUAUUCAGCAGCAAUAAGUGUGAUUAGAAGUAUAAAUCUUUUAAGUACCUAGACAAUUUGCUUUUUUUCGUAUUUUUCCCCAUAAUUAGUGUUGUGAAAUUAGUUUUUAACAAAAGUCAUUUUAGUUAAAAUUAUAUGAUGUAAUUUCUAUGAGCCUUCUUUGUAUUGUAGCCACACAUCAAGAGUUACCACUUACACACUUACUACCCAUGAUUAAAUGAGACAGUUGAAGUAAUUAAGCAGAAAGGGAAUACCUUACCAAACGCACUCUUCUAUCUUUUCUUGAACAAUAACACGUUUACAAAAGAUGUGCAAAAUUACACUAAAAAUUACCACUAAAACACUUACUACCUAUGAUUAAAUGAGAUUAGUUAAAAGUAAUUAAGCAGAAAGGAAGACCCGAAUAAAAGCACUCUUUUAUCUUUUCUUGAACAAUAACACGUUUAUAAAAGAUGCACAAAACUACACUAAAAACUACACAGAUGAAACACAAACAAAUUCGCUUCCUAUGACAUUACUGGCCAAAUCUAGCGUAACUUCCUACAAGUUUGCCUGCUUUGAUAAACACAAGAAAGAAACAUUCCAGUUGGGGAGAAAAUAUACUGAUAAUAUUUACAUCAAGCAAACGAGCCCGCCCUUGAAACAUGAGACAGAGCAUCCUCGAAGCGGUCAUCUUCCACCUUCUCCGAGCACAAGCUUGGAGGGACAUAAGUUCGGAAGAUGCGCUCCAUGUGCAGCGUCUCCUUCAGCUCGUGUGAGGCAACUUCCAGCGCCGGGCAGCAGAAGAAGCGAUAGAACUUCUUGUUACACACGUAGGCAAAGAUAAGGCUCGAGAUGAUCAGCGGCACCAGGAAAGGCGCAAAGACGAAUUUCUUUGCCCCAAAGUAGGCAAGCAUAGUGAGCUGGUAAAGGACAAGAGCAGCUAGGAUUCGCAAAUGCAUGUGCGGCCACAUUCUUCCGUAACUCUCAUAGGAUGGAACAUAAACCUUAAGUGCCUGUCCACCAAAACGAUCAUAUGAAAGUUAAGGAAUGCUCUAGAAGAGGCAAAGAUGUGCAAAGUUUUUGACUUGAAACUAAAGUAUGACGUCGAAUUAGCCACUCAACCUGAUUUCGAAGAAUAAGCCAUCCUAAGCCGAAGUAUACAACACCAAAUGGGAUGAUCAGAGGAGCAAUGACAGAAUAGCAGAGGGUAAUCGUGACGAUCAGCAUGUCUCCAGGAACUCUGGUCGCGUAUUUUAGAUCUCCAGGAAACCAUGCUUCUUUGACUUCAGCUUCAGUCUUGCAAAGGUAUUUCCUCUUCAAGUGAAAAAUAAUCAGAGGAACGAUCCGAGAAAGCUCGAGACCGUAGCCAACAAAGAACCUGAUGGCCAUUUCCCCAAAUUCAGACAUUAGCAUCAUCACUCUACCAAGAAAGCAGAGGAAAAAGUCCAUGCAAGAACUAUGAAGUGAAACGUAACCAUACUAUUGAUAAUAGAAGACUACAAAUUAUGAGAAUAACAAACUGCCCUAAUGCACACAUAAGCAAAUCCAACUCAAUUUUUUUUCUUUUUGUUCCCUUUCGCAUCAAAUAAGAAUCAGAAUCUGUCACUCAGCAAGUUAGAAGUUAAUAGAAGACUGAGGAGGAACAAAAACAUCUUACUGCAAAGCAACGUAAGUGAGGAAAAAUGUUGCAUUUCCAGGUAGACUGGCCGCCAGUACUGUGAGGAGAGAGUUGGGAUCUUUCUCAAUCUCUUUGAAUGUAGCAAACAAGGUUCCACCCACAGUAACGCCAAUAAACACAUUCAAGACCGUGAAGUAGAAGUAUUUUCCAGAGGCAGCACGUUCUAUAUGGCUCUGGGAAGGAAUCCCCUCUAGCUUUGACAGAAACAACAGCAACUUGGGCAACAAAGCCAGGAACAC